UACGGAGGGGGCUAGCGUUGUUCGGAAUUACUGGGCGUAAAGCGCACGUAGGCGGCGAUUUAAGUCAGAAGGUGAAAGCCCGGGGCUCAACCCCCGGAAUAGCCUUUGAGACUGGAUUGCUAGAAUCUUGGAGAGGCGAGUGGAAGUUCCGAGUGUAGAGGUGAAAUUCGUAGAUAUUCGGAAGAACACCAGUGGCGAAGGCGGCUCGCUGGACAAGUAUUGACGCUGAGGUGCGAAAGCGUGGGGAGCAAACAGGG
rnacentral:rRNA from 1 species